AUUGAACGCUGGCGGCAUGCUUUACACAUGCAAGUCGAACGGUAACAGGGUGCUUGCACCGCUGACGAGUGGCGAACGGGUGAGUAAUGCGUCGGAACGUGCCGAGUAGUGGGGGAUAACGCAGCGAAAGUUGUGCUAAUACCGCAUACGUACUGAGGUAGAAAGUGGGGGACCUUCGGGCCUCACGCUAUUCGAGCGGCCCACGUCUGAUUAGCUAGUAGGUGAGGUAAAGGCUCACCUAGGCGACGAUCAGUAGCGGGUCUGAGAGGAUGGUCCGCCACACAGGGAAUGAGAGACGGCCCAGACUACUACGGGAGGGAGCAGUGGGGAAUUUUGGACGAUGGGCGAAAGCCUGAUCCAGCCAUGCCGCGUGUCUGAAGAAGGCCUUCGGGUUGUAAAGGACUUUUGUCAGGGAGGAAAUCCCUAGUGCUAAUAACACUGGGGGAUGACAGUACCUGAAGAAUAAGCACCGGCUAACUACGUGCCAGCCGCCGCCGUAA
rnacentral:rRNA from 1 species